CUAAGCAAUAGCAAAACGAAAAAGAAAAGAAAAAAGAGAAGACUUGUCUCUCUUGUCCUUAUCCCAAACUCUCCUCGCCUGGAAUCGAUCUUGCAAUUCAUUUCAACAAACUUCUUCAUUCAGAUCUGGCCCGGCCCCCAACAUGUCAUCAGUCUUCACCUUCAACUCUUCAAGCUCCAUCGCAUGGUGAUCCAACUGAUUUGUUGAGGGAAAAUCGGCUACUCCUGUGACUAAAGAAGGACUUGGAAGAGCCACUCGAACUUUUCUUCACACUCCUGCUGCUCAGAGGUUCUUGCUCUGCUAGUAAAAAUGAGGAUAUCUCCUCACUUGCUUAUAGACUUGCUUUUCUCUAUCACUGGGGCAGAUUACCAUUGCAGAAUAAAUAAUGUGGGCACUAGAAUUGAAUUUCUAGUUUCCAUUUUAAUUUGCCAACUUUUGGAACUGGAUUCUCUUCUGAUCAAUGCUUAUCUGGUUGUUAUGCAAUGCUGCCAGCUGCAACUGAAGA